AGCUUGUCCACCUCCUAUCCCACGGCACAUCCAACCCAUCGUUACACCGCGGCCACGAGCGGGAGGACGAGGCUGCGAGCGGAGCCGGAGGAACGUGCCUCU
rnacentral:miRNA from 12 species